CCUACGGGAGGCUGCAGUGGGGAAUAUUGGUCAAUGGCCGGAAGGCUGAACCAGCCAAGCCGCGUGAAGGACGAAGGUGCCAAGCAUUGUAAACUUCUUUUGUCAAGGGACAAAAUCAGGCUCGAGAGCCUGACCGAGGGUACUUGAAGAAAAAGCAUCGGCUAACUCCGUGCCAGCAGCCGCGGUAAUACGGAGGAUGCGAGCGUUAUCCGGAUUUAUUGGGUUUAAAGGGUGCGUAGGCGGACUGUUAAGUCAGCGGUAAAAGCUCGGGGCUCAACCCCGGCGAGCCGUUGAAACUGGCUGGCUUGAGAGGGCGAGAGGUAUGCGGAAUGCGCGGUGUAGCGGUGAAAUGCUUAGAUAUUGCGCAGAACUCCGAUUGCGAAGGCAGCAUACCGGCGGCGAGCUGACGCUGAGGCACGAAAGCGUGGGUAUCGAACAGGAUUAGAUACCCGUGUAGUC
rnacentral:rRNA from 1 species